AGAGUUUGAUCCUGGCUCAGAAUGAACGCUGGCGGCGUGCUUAACACAUGCAAGUCGUACGAGGACUCUUUAGCUUGCUAAAGAUAGUAAAGUGGCGCACGGGUGAGUAACGCGUGGGUAAUCUACCUCCGAAUCGGGGAUAACCCGCCGAAAGGCGAGCUAAUACCGGAUAAUAUCUAUAAAAUUUCGGUUUUAAGGAUCAAAGGUGGUCUCUACAUGUAAGCUACUGUUUGGAGAUGAGCCCGCGUACCAUUAGCUUGUUGGUAGGGUAAUGGCCUACCAAGGCUUCGAUGGUUAGCUGGUCUGAGAGGAUGAUCAGCCACACUGGAACUGACACACGGUCCAGACUCCUACGGGAGGCAGCAGUGAGGAAUUUUGCGCAAUGGGGGAAACCCUGACGCAGCAACGCCGCGUGAGUGAUGAAGGCUUUCGGGUCGUAAAGCUCUGUCAAGUGGGAAGAACAUGCUUGAUGCUAAUACCAUCUUGCACUGACGGUACCACUGAAGGAAGCACCGGCUAACUCCGUGCCAGCAGCCGCGGUAAUACGGGGGGUGCAAGCGUUAUUCGGAAUUAUUGGGCGUAAAGGGCGCGUAGGCGGUCUCUUAAGUCAGAUGUGAAAGCCCGGGGCUUAACCCCGGAAGUGCAUUUGAAACUAAGGGACUUGAGUAUGGGAGAGGGAAGUGGAAUUCCUGGUGUAGAGGUGAAAUUCGUAGAUAUCAGGAGGAACACCGGUGGCGAAGGCGACUUCCUGGACCAAUACUGACGCUGAGGCGCGAAGGCGUGGGGAGCAAACAGGAUUAGAUACCCUGGUAGUCCACGCAGUAAACGGUGAACACUAGGUGUAGCGGGUAUUGACCCCUGCUGUGCCGUAGCUAACGCAUUAAGUGUUCCGCCUGGGGAGUACGGUCGCAAGAUUAAAAUUCAAAGGAAUUGACGGGGGGCCCGCACAAGCGGUGGAGCAUGUGGUUUAAUUCGACGCAACGCGAAGAACCUUACCUGGAUUUGACAUCCCGAGAAGUCUUUCGAAAGAUAGAUGUGCCCUUCGGGGAACUCGGUGACAAGUGCUGCAUAGCUGUCGUCAGCUCGUGUCGUGAGAUGUUGGGUUAAGUCCCGCAACGAGCGCAACCCCUAUCUUUAGUUACCAUCAAUUCGGUUGGGGACUCUAGAGAUACUGCCCCGGUUAACGGGGAGGAAGGUGGGGAUGACGUCAAGUCCUCAU
rnacentral:rRNA from 1 species